GUGUGUGAUGAAGUUGGAAGUAACAUUAGACAAGGAAGAGUUAGUCAUCUAGAUAAGUCUUCAAGCAUAGCUGGAUAUUCUACUUUACUUUCAAACUCCAACGGGAAACUGACAUUAGAACAACGUUGUCAAAGGAACAUCAAACGAAAGUCAGGAGAUAUAACGUUACUUCUUUCCCACGUGGACAGAAACGUGCUAGCUAGCUACUGUAGCCUUUCACCUGAAUCAGGUCAUCUAACUGAACUAUAUCAGUCUUGACAUUGACUUCAUUUCUGUUGUUGUCAUCGUGAGCAGGACAAUAUGAGUGGAGAGAGGGAAACGUUGAUGGAUGAAAUGGAACAGAGUUUAUACACUUUAAUCAACGACAAUUUACGCUGCCUGUGUGAACGCAGUGGAAUAGGUGGCAAGAAUGGCUCUGAUGUUCAAGGAAAGAAUCUCCAUCACUCAUUGUGCCGUAAAAUCCUGGAGGAACUUUGGGAAAAUGCAGAUUCAAUGGAAUCGGAGGAGCAGGGAAUGUCUUGGUUACUCCAACUGAAAGAGGACAUCAGGAAGAUACAGGAGGAGGGUAUCGGUGCACCUUUGAGUCCCAGCCAAUCCAUUGAGGAUGAUGAUGAAGAAUGGGAUGAGGACAGGGAUUUGUUGCCUAGCAAAGGGCUGGAGGCAGAACCAGCACCAGAGAGACACACAACAGAGCAGAGGGAGAAGAGAGUGAGUGGGUCCCCCUCUCUGUCCUCUCCUGGUAAUGCCUUACUGCAGGGUCUGAAGAGGGUGUGGCUGGUCAACUGCAGGAAAACACCAGGGUUGAGAGGAACUGCUGGAGGAGGAGACGAGGAGGAGGAAGGAGACGUGAUUCAUCAAAGAGAGAGACGUGGCAACCGUGGAUCUUCUGGGGAGCCUCAACAACAUCCUCAUCAUGCCGACGACCCAGACUGGAGUCUCGCCACAUCAAAACACUUCCACAAACAACCACAGAGACAUGCAGGGAAGAAACCUCACCACUGCUAAUGAUUGCGGAAAGAGUUUCAGUGUUUUAUCAGGCUUGAAAAUCCAUCAAAGCACCCACACCGAAAAUAAACCAUUCCAAUGCUCCAAGUGUGGGAAAGGUUUUGCAAACAACCACUAUCGAAAAAUACAUGAGAAAACAGUAUAUGAGCCUCCCACAGAAAGGUCUUACCACUGCUCUGACUGCGGGAAGAGCUACAGUUUUUUAUCAACCUUCAAAAACCAUCAAAGGAUACACACAGGAGAGAAACCAUUCCAAUGCUCCAAGUGCAAGAAAAGUUUUGCUCAGAAAUCCACUCUGAAAGCACACGAACAAACACACAUUCCUGCCGCAGAAAGGCCUUACCAAUGCUCCUACUGCGAGAAGAAGUUUUGUAUUUCGGCGAUCCUUUAAUUUCCAUAUGAGAAUGCAUACUGAAGAGAAACCAUUCCAAUGUUCAGACUGCGGAAUGCGGUUCAUUCAAGCCUAUUUACUGAAAUCACACAAGUUUAAACACAAGCCCACUGAAGAAAAGCCCUUCAGCUGCUCAGAAUGUGGUGCAGGUUUUGCCACGAAAGGUAGUCUCAAAUUUCACCAGCUGAUGCACAACCCAAGAGAGAGACCUUACCGCUGUUCUGAGUGUGGUCAUUGUUUCUUUCAUCUGAUAUAUCUGAAGAAACACCAGAAGAGACACAGUAAAGAGAAGUCCAUUGUCUGUGAGCUGUGCGGGAAGACCUUCAACCAUCCAAGCAACUUCAGAACGCACAUGAAGAUACACCGAGGAGUGAAACCGUACCACUGCUCCGACUGUGUCAGGAGCUUUAUAUUCCGCCAAGGUUUAACAAAACACCAGCGUGUGCACACCGGCGAGCUGCCUUACAUCUGCGAUCAAUGUGGGAGGAGGUUUUCUCAGUCCAAUUCUUUGGUGACUCACCAGCGAACACACACCGGAGUGAAACCUUACCCAUGCUUUGUCUGUGGGAAGAGCUUCAGUCGGUCACAAAACCUGGCUGCACACAAGAGAACUCAUACUGGAGAGAAGCCUCACGCCUGUGAUCAGUGCGGGAAGAGGUUUUCCCGAACCGACGCACUGGCUGUACACAAGCGCACUCACACUGGAGAGAAGCCUUACAGCUGUGAUAUAUGCAGGGAGACAUUCACCUAUUUAGUAGCCAUGUUGAAACAUAAGAAUGGACAUGGACGUCCUGCAGGUGAUGUACUCUGUGCUGAAUGUCCUCAGGACGAUUCCAGCUCUGUCUAUGAAUAGAGAACUUUGAUUAACUUGCAGAAGACCUCAAUUUGUUGUUUUACUUACAAUCUAACCCCCAGAGAGAGAGAGACACAAACACUCACACACGCAGACAAACCCAGAGGGCGGCAGGUAGCCUAGCGGUUAAGAGCGUUCGACCGGUAACCGAAAGAUCGCUCAUUCGAAUUCCUGAGUCAGCAAAGGUUAUAAGGAAUAAAAUCUGCUGUUCUGCCCUUGAGCUAGCCAGUUAGUACCCAACAACUGCUCCCUGGGCACAUAUGACGUGGAUUAAGGCAGCCCGCCGCACCUCUGUGAUUCAGAGGGUUUAGAUGUGGAAGGUUGAAGGCAUUUAGUUGUGCAACUGGCUAGUUAUCCCUCAUUUCCUUUCCACCCAGAGGAAUUGGGAGCACAGAGUGGUUACUGUGAGUUUUGAGAGUAGUUACUCUGGUCUUUGAGAGUGGUUACUGUGGUUUUUGAAAGCAAGGAUUGUGGCUUUAAAUAGUCUGAAAUCAUAAUGUUGUGUUGUAUACAUACACACCUGACAGGUGUAGGAUCAGGUUCCUCUCUCCCAAAUCCUAUCUUUUAGCAUUAGUGGGGAAAAUGCUAAACUGACACAAGAUCAGCAUCUAGGGGCAACUUCACCCUACACUUGCCCCUUCCCUGGGGGCUAUUCCAGAUAGCAGGUUCAUUGAGGUACUGUCCUAAAUAUUCUCUACUAUCCUAUUUUUUUUGGACAAAUAUAGACUUGAAAUUGGCAUAGUAGUGGUAGUACAUAUACAGGAAGGAGUGGCUUCCGUCUGGCCACUCUACCAUAAAGGAGUGCUUCAAUAAGCACUUCUCAACGGCUGGCCAUGCCUUCCGCCUGGCUACUCCAACCUCGGCCAACAGCUCCGCCCCCCCCGCAGCUCCUCGCCCAAGCCUCUCCAGGUUCUCCUUUACCCAAAUCCAGAUAGCAGAUGUUCUGAAAGAGCUGCAAAACCUAGACCCGUACAAAUCAGCUGGGCUUGACAAUCUGGACCCUCUAUUUCUGAAACUAUCUGCCGCCAUUGUCGCAACCCCUAUUACCAGCCUGUUCAACCUCUCUUUC